rnacentral:rRNA from 1 species
AAAUUGAAGAGUUUGAUCAUGGCUCAGAUUGAACGCUGGCGGCAGGCCUAACACAUGCAAGUCGAACGGUAGCACAGAGAGCUUGCUCUCGGGUGACGAGUGGCGGACGGGUGAGUAAUGUCUGGGAAACUGCCUGAUGGAGGGGGAUAACUACUGGAAACGGUAGCUAAUACCGCAUAACGUCGCAAGACCAAAGAGGGGGACCUUCGGGCCUCUUGCCAUCAGAUGUGCCCAGAUGGGAUUAGCUAGUAGGUGGGGUAACGGCUCACCUAGGCGACGAUCCCUAGCUGGUCUGAGAGGAUGACCAGCCACACUGGAACUGAGACACGGUCCAGACUCCUACGGGAGGCAGCAGUGGGGAAUAUUGCACAAUGGGCGCAAGCCUGAUGCAGCCAUGCCG